GAUGAACGCUGGCGGCGUGCUUAACACAUGCAAGUCGAACGGAAAGGCUCCUGCUUGCCGGGGUCCUCGAGUGGCGAACGGGUGAGUAACACGUGGGUGAUCUGCCCUGCACUUCGGGAUAAGCCUGGGAAACUGGGUCUAAUACCGGAUAGGACCACAUUUUGGAUGGUGUGGUGGAAAGUUUUUCGGUGUGGGAUGAGCUCGCGGCCUAUCAGCUUGUUGGUGGGGUAAUGGCCUACCAAGGCGUCGACGGGUAGCCGGCCUGAGAGGGUGUACGGCCACAUUGGGACUGAGAUACGGCCCAGACUCCUACGGGAGGCAGCAGUGGGGAAUAUUGCACAAUGGGCGCAAGCCUGAUGCAGCGACGCCGCGUGGGGGAUGACGGCCUUCGGGUUGUAAACUCCUUUCGCUAGGGACGAAGCGCAAGUGACGGUACCUGGAGAAGAAGCACCGGCUAACUACGUG
rnacentral:rRNA from 1 species